rnacentral:lncRNA from 1 species
CUUUUACGAAAAUCUAAGUAAAAGUGAUUUCUUUUGCAUAAUUUAACUUUAUACUUAAACAGUUUUAUUUAGACGAAUUCAUGCUAUUUCCUUUUGUUCAACGUUAAAAUAUUUUUACAGAGUAAUCGUGCUCUUAUCGGCCACAAAAAAUUUCGUUCGUUUCUACGACGACUCGAAAGAAGACACGCCUCAUCGCCAUUUUAAAAAUUCUAUCUACGAUAAAUGAGUGAGAAGAUUGAAGUUUAUUUUAAUAAUAGUGAAAAAGCAAGUCGUCUCCUAUGAUGCUUUAUCUGUUAUCAUCUGGGAGACUUGUAGUUAAUUAAGGAACAUUAGAAAACACCAGAUGCCAUUAAAUUAAGGAGCAUGGAAGUGCCUUUUUUUCUUGGGAAUAAAAAGACAGUGUGCUGUUACUGUAGAAAAGAUUCAUGACAGUGAACUGGAAGGUUGGAUGAACUCCAGAUUCUGUUAAAUUAUGGGGCAGUGGUUGUCUCAGUCGUCAAUCGCUCCAGAAAGUAGCUUUGCCUAUGGUCCUAAAAAAAAGCAUGAAAACACAUUUUUCCAUUGGGAACGAAGACAGUGUGCUGUUGCUGAAGAAAGGAUUUAUGACAAUGAACUGAUUGUCGUAACAAAUUAGAAGGAAUUGGUGCUACUGAAACAACCGAUGCUUUUGAUGUUUUCAUCUUGCAACAUUAUGCAGUUAGUUUUGGCCGUGAGAAUGGGAGGCAAAUGGAAAUUAAUUAGGAAGCCACUGAAACAACAAAUUGUCUGCAGUGAUAUCUCUCCUAGAUUUGUUUUGCUCUGCUCAUAAUACUGGUAGACUUUGGAACGCUAAUUUCUACAGGUAGUCAAGAUCGUGCAACAAAUGGGAGGGAAUUGAAGUUCAGUUUGGUCAUUCUAAAACAAUCAUUGUCUACAUGGGUGUGGUCUUUGGUGAACUACAUUCUUGAUUUGCUGUUUUCGUCUUCGCUUUGCAUCAUUGUGCAGUUAGUUUUGAACUGAUGAGUGAUAGCAACUGAAUAUUUAUUUGAUUACCACUGGAAUAAGGAAUUUUCUGCAUUGGCAUUCCUGGAUUUUGUUUGCUUUUCACACCUGCAAACUUUGGAACAUUAUU